UACGAAGGGGGCUAGGCGUUGUUCGGAAUUACUGGGCGUAAAGCGCACGUAGGCGGAUAUUUAAGUCAGGGGUGAAAUCCCAGAGCUCAACUCUGGAACUGCCUUUGAUACUGGGUAUCUUGAGUAUGGAAGAGGUAAGUGGAAUUGCGAGUGUAGAGGUGAAAUUCGUAGAUAUUCGCAGGAACACCAGUGGCGAAGGCGGCUUACUGGUCCAUAACUGACGCUGAGGUGCGGAGAGCAUGGGGGAGCAAACAGG
rnacentral:rRNA from 1 species